rnacentral:tRNA from 1 species
UUUUCAUUAUUUAAAGUAAUAAAACCUGUUUUCCAAACAGGCAUUCUAGUAGUUAGAUGRAAGA